GCUAACUACGUGCAGCAGCGCGGUAAUACGUAAGGGUGCAAGCGUAAUCGGAAUUACUGGGCGUAAAGCGUGCGCAGGCGGUUUUGUAAGUCUGACGUGAAAUCCCCGGGCUCAACCUGGGAAUUGCGUUGGAGACUGCAAGGCUGGAGUCUGGCAGAGGGGGGUAGAAUUGCACGUGUAGCAGUGAAAUGCGUAGAGAUGUGGAGGAACACCGAUGGCGAAGGCAGCCCCCUGGGUCAAGACUGACGCUCAUGCACGAAAGCGUGGGGAGCAAACAGGAUUAGAUACCCUGGUAGUCCACGCCCUAAACGAUGUCUACUAGUUGUCGGGUUUUAAUUAACUUGGUAACGCAGCUAACGCGUGAAGUAGACCGCCUGGGGAGUACGGUCGCAAGAUUAAAACUCAAAGGAAUUGACGGGGACCCGCACAAGCGGUGGAUGAUGUGGAUUAAUUCGAUGCAACGCGAAAAACCUUACCUACCCUUGACAUGGAAGGAAUCCCGGAGAGAUCUGGGAGUGCCCGAAAGGGAGCCUUCACACAGGUGCUGCAUGGCUGUCGUCAGCUCGUGUCGUGAGAUGUUGGGUUAAGUCCCGCAACGAGCGCAACCCUUGUCAUUAGUUGCUACGCAAGAGCACUCUAGUGAGACUGCCGGUGACAAACCGGAGGAAGGUGGGGAUGACGUCAAGUCCUCAUGGCCCUUAUGGGUAGGGCUUCACACGUCAUACAAUGGUACAUACAGAGGGCCGCCAACCCGCGAGGGGGAGCUAAUCCCAGAAAGUGUAUCGUAGUCCGGAUUGUAGUCUGCAACUCGACUACAUGAAGUUGGAAUCGCUAGUAAUCGCGGAUCAGCAUGUCGCGGUGAAUACGUUCCCGGGUCUUGUACACACCGCCCGUCACACCAUGGGAGCGGGUUUUACCAGAAGUAGGUAGCUUAACCGCAAGGAGGGCGCUUACCACGGUAGGAUUCGUGACUGGGGUGAAGUCGUAACAAGGUAACCAAUC
rnacentral:rRNA from 1 species